CCAGUAGGCACGAAAGCGAUGACACUGAUAAGGAAUCAGAGCAAAUACAUCUCAGUUCAGCUAGUACACUAACAAUGUCAAGUGAUUCAGCGACCAGUUUCUCAACACAUUUUAUGAACACAGUUUUAAAAAACCAAGCUGCAAUGAACUAUGACUUGAAAGUUAUUAAAACACUUUUAGAGUCAUUCAAAAAUAUUUCUGAAUAUAAGCAUGUUAAUGUGGAGGAAGAAUCGAUAUUUCUAAAUAAG